ACAUUCCAGGCCAAGGCAAGGCCUGUGCACAGGCCUGGUGGCAUGGAGAGCUGAGUGUGUAGAGCAGAGAGGGCAAGGAGGAGGGCACAGCCUCUGACCUCACAAUACCCAGGGCCCGCUGGGCCAGACCUGCAGACUCUGCACCUUCCUUCAGCCCGGGCAAGGCCCGGGGCCCUGGGCAGCCUCCAGGUGCAGUACCCUCCCGUAGGCCGCACUUCCCACUGCCCCAGGGCAUGUCUCUACUCACCAAUUAUGAGGGUCUUCGGCAUCAGAUAGAGAGGCUGGUGCGGGAAAAUGAGGAACUGAAGAAGCUGGUGCGGCUCAUUCGGGAGAAUCACGAGCUCAAGUCAGCAAUCAAGACUCAGGCAGGCGGGCUCGGCAUCAGCGGGUUCACAACUGGGCUUGGUGAGGCAACAGCAGGCCUUCCCUCACGCCAGAGCAAUGGUGUCUUCCUGCCCCUGUCCCCAGCAGUGGCAAAUGAACCAGUCCUGGAAGAAGUGGGGAUCAUGGCCUUGACACCCCUGGCCGAGAUGCUAACCAGCUUGCAGCCCAGCACCACGCCGGGCUCACUCAUGAGCCCCCUGACAGGCACCCUCAGCACGCUGCUGUCCGGCCCAGCAUCGCUGUCACAGAGCAGCCCCCUCACCGGCUUCCUGACCAGCCCCGUGGCAGGGCCCCCAACGGGCACACUGGCCAGUUCCCUGGGCCUGCCCUCCGCUGGCCCCCUGACUCCCAGCAGCCCCCUGGCAGGCCCUGUGGCCGUGUCCCAGAGCAGCCCCCUGAUAGCCCCUGUGACGGGCACGGUGGCUGUCUCUCUGAGCAGCCCCCUCCUCAGCUCCACUGCCACCCCACUAGGGGUCUCUCAGAACCUGCUGGCCAACCCCAUGAGCAACCUGGUCCUGCCAGAGGCCCCAAGGCUGCGGCUGGCUGAGCCACUCCGCAGAGGCCCCUCCGGGCCCCACUCCCCAGCUUGCAUGGUACCUGCUGCCACCACCAAAGUCCCACUCUCCACUGAGCCCCCCCGGUCGACCCAGGACCCAGAGCCUCUCAGCACGGCGUUUGCAGGCACACCCCUCCAGACCUCCACCCCCGUCGGAGCCAUGGGCACACCUGCUCCCGAGACGGCCUUCUCCUUCAACACUUCAGACACACAGACUCAGCCCAGUGCCACCCAGGAACAAGUGGUCCCUGCAUCUGUCCCCACCUCCCCCACUACCUCCCCCACGGUCACUGUCCUUGCCUCUGCCCCCGCCCUCACCCCCCAGGUUGCCACCAGCUACACCCCCUCAAGCACCACUCACAUCACCCAGGGUGCCCCCCAUCCCCCUUCCCGAAUGCACAAUUCCCCAAUCCGGAACCUGCCUGCCCCCCACUCUCCUCCACACAACCCCCACUCCCCACCUCGUACGUCAUCCUCCCCGGCUUCAGUCAAUGACUCUCGGGGUCCACGCGCCACGGAACCAUCGAGGAAGAGCAUGAUGGAGGUGGAACGGAAGCUGGCCCACCGCAAGACGAGCAAGUUCCCGGAGAGCGCCCGAGAGUCGAAGCAGCUGGCCUGGGAGAGGCUGGUGGGUGAGAUCGCCUUCCAGCUGGACCGAAGGAUCCUGUCCAGCAUCUUCCCAGAGCGCGUGCGGCUCUAUGGCUUCACUGUCUCCAACAUCCCGGAGAAGAUCAUCCAGGCCUCCCUGAACCCCAGUGACCACAAGCUGGACGAGGAGCUGUGCCAGAUGCUCACACAGCGUUACGUGAGCAUCAUGAACAGGCUGCAGAGUCUGGGCUACAACGGGCGGGUGCACCCUGCGCUGACCGAACAGCUGGUGAACGCCUAUGGCAUCCUGCGAGAGCGCCCGGAGCUGGCGGCGUCCGAGGGCGGCACCUACACUGUGGACUUCCUGCAGCGUGUGCUAGUGGAGACCGUGCACCCUAGCAUGCUCACCGACGCGCUGCUGCUGCUCUCCUGCCUCAACCAGCUGGCGCAUGACGACGGCAAGCCCAUGUUCAUCUGGUGACGCUGGAGCUGGGAGGUCCAGGCUCGCUCAACCCCACAGCCUUCUGCACAGCCAUUAAAGCUUCCCACAGACGCUGGUCGCUGGGCCUGCGCCAGCACUCCUGGGUGGUGCUGCCUCCUCUGGGGUGGCUUACUGGGCCCCUGCACCGUGCCCCUUCAGCCCUGCCUACCCUGGAGGCCAAUGGCCAUCCUGGACCCUCUGCGAGAGCCCGAGAGGCCAAGGCUCAGCAGUGGUCUGCGAGGGGUUGGUCUGAAGGUCCCCAGGCUCCCCUCCCAUGGCACUGAGAGCAGUGGGAGCUUCUGGGACCUGGAUGGGGAAGGGUAGGAACCAGGAAGGGGUAGAGCAGGGAGGGAAGGGCCGUGGCUCUGUGCCUGCCACAGUGGCGAGGGGCACGGAGCUGGCAGAGGUGGGAGGAGACAAGGAUGUGGGUGUGGGAUCCCUGCCUCCAUACUAGGCCGGGGCUGGGUGAGGGGCGGAGGGGGGUGGUCUUCCAGACCUUGAGGACAAGAGGACAUUUAAGGGAGAAGAGCCAGAAGAAAGCAUCCUCACCCCAACCUGGGCAUGAGGCAGCCCAGCAAAGUGGCGGCCCCUUCCCAAGACACCCAAGGCCAUCCCACAGGUCCUGGAGACUUUGAGAGGGAUUCAGAGCUGGCAAGGGCAGACACCACCUGCUGCAGGAGCUGAGGAGCACAAGCAGGAUUUGGGGGCAGGCCAGGGGCCUCCCACAGUGCACUAAGGGCAGAUGGGGUGCUGGGAAGGGCUUGUGGAGAGUGCAGGAAGCUGAGGGAGCCGGCCAGGAUGGGAAGUCCCUGGGGAGGAAGACAUGGGAGGGGAGAAGCGCAGUGUAGGAAAGCGCAGAGGGGCCCACACCACAGGGUGAGACAGGAGCAAGUCUGCACGCAGGAAGGCAAGGAGGCUGGCUGCAAUGGGAGCGAGAUCAAAACCCCAACUGAGGAGGGUCCUGGGGCACCAGUGCUUGCCAGACAGAAAGGAUAGCAGGAGGCAACAGUGGACCCACAAGGUCUGAGUUCCAAUGGGAAUCUUUCAGCAACCAGCAAGGAGUCCAGGGAAGGAGAGGGUAUGCAGGGUGUGCCAGGCCCUCCAGGGAUGCCCGAGCUGCUGAGCUUCCUGCCUCUGCCCUCCCCACUCCCAGGCCUCCAGGGAAUCCAGCCAGACACACAGCCUCUUAGUCCCUGGGAAGGGCAGGGAAGAGCUCCUGCCAGCAGCCCCUCCACCUCCCUGCCAGCCAACAGGAAGGGCAGCCCUCACCCAAACUCCCAGGGCUAUUUAAGAGACGCUUGCACCCAGCUGACCGGGAGAGUGCAUGCUGGUUCACAGGCCCAAUUAGAAAGGUGGGAGGCGAGCAGAGCCUGGGAGCUACCGGCCGUCCUGUCCUGGGAGCUCCUGAGGGUAUGCGGGAGCGCUCCAGAACCGGGAAAGGCUUCCGUCUGGCUCGCGUGCACGCGGAGAGCUACCCGCAGGGCAGAACCAACAGUCCCUCCCCUUCGAUUGGAAGCUCCAUGGGGUAGGGCCACAGGGCCGUCACCACUGCGAGCUGGCCUUUUGGGGGACUUUGCGGGGCGCUGGGCGGGAGUCCAUCCCUCCUCAGGUGUCAGGUCUUUGAACUCAGGCGCCCGACGCCGCGGGGCCGCAGAGAGACGCGUAGCGGGUGGGGUGGAUUCUGCCGUCUGGGCAGCCGGAGUGCGCGAUUUAUUCCAUGCUGACCUGCGUGGGAGCGGGUACAGGGGAGCCGGGGGCAGAGCACAUUGUUUGCUCCUCACCAGUGCUGCGCAGCCCGCACUCAAAAACUCGUCCUCCACUUGCCGCUGGCUGCAUCCCGAUCCCGCUUGCGUCGGGCGGACCUCACAGGUUCCCUGUGAGACCUUCGCGGGUGUAUGGGGCGGGGCAAGGAGGAUCCAGGGUGGGGAUUUGAGAUGAGGUCCCUUUCGGGUUUUCGUUUUGAAGCGCCCCUCUGCCUACGCCCGCGCCUCCGCCAGGCUCGCUGGGUCAGCACCUCACCGGCUUUGCGCACACGCUGUGCCUCGCGGCCUUCACCCCUGUGACUCCCCCGCAGCUCGCGCUGAUGCACCGAGGAGUCAGCUUGUCCUCUGGAAGCCAAUGAGUCUCCCCGGCGCCCCGCGGCCGAAGAGUUAGGUGUACCCUGCAAUCCCCGCCCGACUGGCCCCCGGCGACUGACGCCCUGUGGCCCUCGCCCUUCCCGCACCCGGCUUUGCACGCCCUCCACGGCUUGGCCCACGAGCUGCUCUUCCCGGCCUGCUGGGCCCUGGACCAGCUGCUGGGCUGCUGUGCACCAACGGCGAGCCUGAUCAGCCUGGGGUGGCUGAGAAGGGCGGCGGGCGGCGUCGUGGCGCUGCUGCUGCUGGUGGUGGUCGGCCUGCCCUUGGCGCUGACCCGCCUGCCACUCUGGCUGGCGCUGCAGGUUUGGCGCCGCCCCUUCUGCUACCGCCCCCCUCCACUGUGCUGGGCGCCGCCCGCGCUCUGGCGCCCGCCUCCCGAACCCGGGCACUGCUUCGUCUUCCUCACGGCCAAUGUGUGCCUGCUCCUGGACUGGCUGGCGCGCUUCAGCAACCUGCCGCACAGCCAGCGACGGGCUGAGGCCAUUGGCGCCGCGCUCUAUAGGGCUACGGACUGCAGCCAGCUGUGGCCCAGGGCGCCGCGCGGGACGCUGGUGGCCUCGCUGCCCGUGGGUCUGGACUUUGCCUGCAGGAGGUAUUCGAUUUGCGCGCAGCUCGUCGCUUGGUGAAUCGCCUGACGCCCAACCUGGGCCCGGUGCUGUACGACGUGAGCACACUUGGCCUACAGACCGGGCCGCACCUCAAGCUACUGGACAGCGGGCUGCUACUGGACAGCUGGCUGCUGUGCGCCACCUUCCGUUGCUUCCCCCACGCACGUGGCGAGGAUGCGCUGGCCUCCAAGGGACUACUGUCCACACAGGCGCGGCUGGGCAGCCUGGACGGGCGCCACAUCGUGGGAUUCCUGCACUGCACGCACUUGCAAGCACUGGCUGGUGAGCCCUGCGGGUGGGUCCUCAGAACAGGUCCCGCCUCUCCGUGGCGGCUGCUGAUCCCUACAUUCCCCUGCACCCCGCCCCCCAUCUCCCGCCCCUUUGUUCACUGCCCCAGGCAUGGGAAUUCCUGAGAGGUGCCCGUCGGGCUCACAGAUCAGGAACUGGGAAGCCAGAAGCUGACUGUCCAAGAUGCGGGUCCGAAUCUGGAGCCGAGCCCACCCCAUCCUCCUUCCCCGCGCAGAGGACGGGCCCUUGCGCAGCAAACAGCUGACGCUGCUGCUGGACUGAGCCAAAGUUUGAGGCCGAGAGCGAACAAAGUGGAGGGGUCGUGGCUUUACGCGUGCUCCUGGGAGACCUAAACUUCGAUAACUGCUCGAAAGGUCCAGCAGGAGGGGAGGGCAGGGAGGCAGGGGCGGAGCCAGGAGGCCCGGCCCCGCCCACCGCGCUCCAGCCUCCCUCUGCGGUGGAGCAGUAGCGCCAGCUCUUCCGCCGCUUCCCUGCCGGAUGGGCACGCGCCAAGAGCAGCCCUGGGCCCUGGGUCUCGUGCUUCGGGGGAGGGUACCGGAGCGGGGAGUGGUUCCUGGGGAGUGCUGUCGGCCGAGGCUCCGGCUGAUGCCUCCCCUCCCCCAGAUCCCCCAGGGACCGCACUGCGCAGCCUCGUGCUCCACCACUCCGUGGCCUCCUCCCCCGAGAUGCUGAGGCGGUGAGUGGCGACCUGGAGGUAGGCACUGCCCGCCUGAAGCGCGCAAAGCGGCCCUGGCCUUGGUGAUACCGCCGCCCUUCCAGGACCCUGGAGCAGGAGAAAGGGCGCCACCUCUACCUGGCCGGCCCUCCCGGCAGAAGCCGCCGAGCUAAGCCCUGGAGAGGUCAGCGCCUGGACUACAUCACGAACUGCGGAGUUCCUGGGGGCCUGCUGAGCCCAGUGAGUGCCAGGGCCCGGGUGGCUGGGCCUGCAGCGCUGGGACGACCCUCAACCUGAUUCCCGCCCCCAGGAGGUGGAGCAGGUGACGUUCAGUACCGCCCUGGCGGGGCUCACCGACCACCUGGUAGUGAGCCUGCAGCUCCGAGUCUGGGUGUCCUCCUAAGGCAGGCACAGAUGACAGGCGUGCAGCCAGCGCGCACAGACACGACUCGGAGCACGAACUAGGCGCCGUAGCUGCGUCCCCAGAACCGGGUGACUUAAGGCACCUUUAUUGCAGGACCUUCACACGGCCUCCUGGGCCCGGCGGUACUCAUAGACGCUGCCGUGCUCGGGAAAGGCCAGUGCUUGCGGGGGUGACCCCGGCGGUGGGGCGGGGUCCUCGGGGUCCCCAUAGCCACCGCCGCCGGGCGUGUGGAGACAGAACACAUCCUGUUGGGGGGGGUACAGGCUCAGCGCAGUUGUGGCCCCUCCCUGUCACUGCGCAGUCCCCUCCCCACGGGGCAGGGUCCAUCACCCGCCCCCGUGGACCACAGAGGCCUGGUACGCGCCCCCUUUCCUUCGGGGGCCAAAUUAAACUCGACCUCUGGUCA